rnacentral:rRNA from 1 species
UACAGAGGGGGCAAGCGUUGUUCGGAAUUACUGGGCGUAAAGGGCGCGUAGGCGGCCCGCUAAGUCGAACGUGAAAUCCCCGAGCUCAACUCGGGAACUGCGUCCGAUACUGGCGGGCUUGAAUCCGGGAGAGGGAUGCGGAAUUCCAGGUGUAGCGGUGAAAUGCUUAGAUAUCGUCAAGAACACCUAUAGCGAAGGCAGCUUACUAGGCUGUAACUGACGCUGAGGCACGAAAGUGUGGGGAUCAAACAGG